CUAUACAUGCAGUCGAGCGAAUCGAUGGGAGCUUGCUCCCUGAGAUUAGCGGCGGACGGGUGAGUAACACGUGGGCAACCUGCCUAUAAGACUGGGAUAACUUCGGGAAACCGGAGCUAAUACCGGAUACGUUCUUUUCUCGCAUGAGAGAAGAUGGAAAGACGGUUUCGGCUGUUAUUUWUAGAUGGGCCCCCGGCCCAUUAGCUAGUUGGKGAGGUAAUGGCUCACCAAGGSGACGAUGCGUAGCCGACCUGAGAGGGUGAUCGGCCACACUGGGACUGAGACACGGCCCAGAMUCCUACGGGAGGCAGCAGUAGGGAAUCUUCCGCAAUGGACGAAAGUCUGACGGAGCAACGCCGCGUGAACGAAGAAGGCCUUCGGGUCGUAAAGUUCUGUUGUUAGGGAAGAACAAGUACCAGAGUAACUGCUGGUACCUUGACGGUACCUAACCAGAAAGCCACGGCUAACUACGUGCCAGCAGCCGCGGUAAUACGUAGGUGGCAAGCGUUGUCCGGAAUUAUUGGGCGUAAAGCGCGCGCAGGUGGUUCCUUAAGUCUGAUGUGAAAGCCCACGGCUCAACCGUGGAGGGUCAUUGGAAACUGGGGAACUUGAGUGCAGAARARGAAAGUGGAAUUCCAAGUGUAGCGGUGAAAUGCGUAGAGAUUUGGAGGAACACCAGUGGCGAAGGCGACUUUCUGGUCUGUAACUGACACUGAGGCGCGAAAGCGUGGGGAGCAAACAGGAUUAGAUACCCUGGUAGUCCACGCCGUAAACGAUGAGUGCUAAGUGUUAGAGGGUUUCCGCCCUUUAGUGCUGCAGCUAACGCAUUAAGCACUCCGCCUGGGGAGUACGGCCGCAAGGCUGAAACUCAAAGGAAUUGACGGGGGCCCGCACAAGCGGUGGAGCAUGUGGUUUAAUUCGAAGCAACGCGAAGAACCUUACCAGGUCUUGACAUCCUCUGACAACCCUAGAGAUAGGGCGUUCCCCUUCGGGGGACAGAGUGACAGGUGGUGCAUGGUUGUCGUCAGCUCGUGUCGUGAGAUGUUGGGUUAAGUCCCGCAACGAGCGCAACCCUUGAUCUUAGUUGCCAGCAUUCAGUUGGGCACUCUAAGGUGACUGCCGGUGACAAACCGGAGGAAGGUGGGGAUGACGUCAAAUCAUCAUGCCCCUUAUGACCUGGGCUACACACGUGCUACAAUGGAUGGUACAAAGGGCUGCAAACCUGCGAAGGUAAGCGAAUCCCAUAAAGCCAUUCUCAGUUCGGAUUGUAGGCUGCAACUCGCCUACAUGAAGCCGGAAUCGCUAGUAAUCGCGGAUCAGCAUGCC
rnacentral:rRNA from 2 species